rnacentral:rRNA from 1 species
GACGAACGCUGGCGGCGUGCUUAACACAUGCAAGUCGAACGGAAAGGCCCUGCUUUUGUGGGGUGCUCGAGUGGCGAACGGGUGAGUAACACGUGAGUAACCUGCCCUUGACUUUGGGAUAACUUCAGGAAACUGGGGCUAAUACCGGAUAGGAGCUCCUGCUGCAUGGUGGGGGUUGGAAAGUUUCGGCGGUUGGGGAUGGACUCGCGGCUUAUCAGCUUGUUGGUGGGGUAGUGGCUUACCAAGGCUUUGACGGGUAGCCGGCCUGAGAGGGUGACCGGCCACAUUGGGACUGAGAUACGGCCCAGACUCCUACGGGAGGCAGCAGUGGGGAAUAUUGCACAAUGGGCGGAAGCCUGAUGCAGCGACGCCGCGUGCGGGAUGACGGCCUUCGGGUUGUAAACCGCUUUCGGCUGUGACGAAGCGUGAGUGACGGUAAUGGGUAAAGAAGCACCGGCUAACUACGUG